UAUAACUGGGCCUGAACCUUAGCCACUUCUCUCUGCCUAUUAACCUUAAAAGCCAAGAAAAGCAAGGAUUUGGGUUUUAGAUGUUCAUGGUUUGGGAGCAUUAUUGUUUUAUUAGGGUGGAAGGUAUUGUUUAAGUGGAAGAGGGAGCCCUUAUUACUUUUCUUUGAAAUUUAGGAUGCUAAUGUUAGUAUGGUUUUCAACUUCCAUUUUAAAUGUAAGAAUGUAAUGAGCAAAGAGGCAGAAGGAAAUAACAAAGCACAUUUUCCUGAAGAGAAUCCCUGUCUUUUGAGUUUAGAGUCUACUGAGACUUCUAAGAUCUGCUUCCUUUCCAGCUACUUCCUUCUGUGGCACAGAGCAGUUCAUUCUCAGGUUUCUUUCAGUUUGCAGGUUGAGAGGGUGUCAGCCUAGCCAGGAGCAGUUAUGCCAGCUCAGUAUGGUGUAGCUUCCUUGCCCCAGCAUUCGCGGGUUGAGAGCUUGGCCAGUUUUCCUUCCAGAGGCUGCUUUACCUUUCUUCUCAGGAAUUUCCAAGGAAUGGAUGCUCAUGUUUAAAACUCUCCCAAACUGCCAGCUGAAAAAUAAAUGCCUGAAUAUGACAGAAGCAGUGCACCCAAGCAGGGUAAUUGGAAUGGAUGUGCUCUUUUAAAAGCAUUAAAUCUUCAUCCUCCCCUUUCUAGUUGCUUUUCUCACCUGUUCAUGUGGUGCCCACCUGUGGCUUGCUGGCAUUGCCACUGCCUGCAAAUGGGGAGAUUUCCAAGUUCAAAAUGAACACUUGGUCUUCCGUGGUGAAACUCUAUAGGACUGUGUGGAGUAUGUGAAGAAAUUAAGGACAGUAUGUAGUCCUAGUUUGUGUCACCAGUACCUUGUUUAUAUUCUUCCUCUGACUAUUCCCACGCCCCCUCUCCAGAUUUUUGCAUGGCUUUUAUAGCCUCUAGUAAUUAUAUCAGCAGCAUGGAGUCUAUUUUUAUUUCUUUUUGAAUGUGUGCAACAUAAAUGUCAAAAACCAUAAAAUCUCUUUUUAGGAUGUAUCUUGCAUGCAUGGUUUUAAAAAGUGUGAUGCAGCAUUGAAAGAGAUGUUGCAUUUUGAGGUCAGACAGAUGAAAAACCCCACUGCAUGAACUUUCAAUAAGUACCUUAUCAUCUUGAACUUUUAGAGUCUCUGUAAUAUGAAAUCCCACUGCCUACCUCACAGGGUGGUGGUGCAGCACCUAGGUUAGCACCUAGGGUGCCCCCUUUCCACAGCAGGUGCCCCCCCAAACUCCUAAAUUGUAUGUUUCAUGCUUAAAUGUCAUGACCUUUCAAUGCCCUAUAUCACACUUAGAAACAGAGUAAGAAUAAAAUCUCACCUCUCAGUGUGAAUACUCUAAAUUAUCAUAAGAUUCAAUCACAGAAUUAUUCUAUCAGAGAAUACAGAACCCACCAUCACUUAACACUGUCCCUGGGCCUAGCAAAAAAUAAUAACUCUACCUAGCAUUUACUGAGCAUAUACUAUGUGCCAAGUUCUAGGUAGUUCAAGUCUAAU